UCUGGGACAAGCCCUGGAAACGGGGUCUAAUACCGGAUAGCACUUCCACUCGCAUGGGUGGGGGUUGAAAGCUCCGGCGGUGAAGGAUGAGCCCGCGGCCUAUCAGCUUGUUGGUGAGGUAAUGGCUCACCAAGGCGACGACGGGUAGCCGGCCUGAGAGGGCGACCGGCCACACUGGGACUGAGACACGGCCCAGACUCCUACGGGAGGCAGCAGUGGGGAAUAUUGCACAAUGGGCGAAAGCCUGAUGCAGCGACGCCGCGUGAGGGAUGACGGCCUUCGGGUUGUAAACCUCUUUCAGCAGGGAAGAAGCGAAAGUGACGGUACCUGCAGAAGAAGCGCCGGCUAACUACGUGCCAGCAGCCGCGGUAAUACGUAGGGCGCAAGCGUUGUCCGGAAUUAUUGGGCGUAAAGAGCUCGUAGGCGGUCUGUCGCGUCGGAUGUGAAAGCCCGGGGCUUAACCCCGGGUCUGCAUUCGAUACGGGCAGACUAGAGUGUGGUAGGGGAGAUCGGAAUUCCUGGUGUAGCGGUGAAAUGCGCAGAUAUCAGGAGGAACACCGGUGGCGAAGGCGGAUCUCUGGGCCAUUACUGACGCUGAGGAGCGAAAGCGUGGGGAGCGAACAGGAUUAGAUACCCUGGUAGUCCACGCCGUAAACGGUGGGAACUAGGUGUUGGCGACAUUCCACGUCGUCGUGCCCGCAGCUAACGCAUUAAGUUCCCCGCCUGG
rnacentral:rRNA from 1 species